rnacentral:misc_RNA from 1 species
AAAUCAGCCAAGAUGAGAGCCAAGUGGAGGAAAAAGCGCACGCGUCGCCUGAAGCGUAAGAGAAGAAAGACGAGAGCCAGAUCCAAAUAAGCGACUCGCCCCUACUCUGCCUGCGAUGACACCCAGCAACACCCACACAUAACAACCUCGAUCAUGCGACCACAAGUCGCCCCGCGCUGAAGAAACGACCACGACUUCGCGCUACGAAUGACGGCUUGCCUUUACGACUACUGAAUGGCUUUGAUUGAGAGUUGGGGAUGGAACUGGGAGGAUUUGCUUCAAUGCACCCAGAGUUGAUGUGAAGGACCUUACGACUGCA